rnacentral:lncRNA from 1 species
GGUAGCAACUUUCAUGUGAUCUGCGGUUGUUGACUUGUUGCAAGAACCAAGAAGCAUGGUCGACGAAACUAGAUGAAGACCGCUAACGCUGAGAGGGUGAGAAUUGUUGAUUUGGUUUCUUAUUAAUUGCUGAGGGGUUUUUGUGAUGCAAGGGUAAAUCAUGGGGAAGAAGGCAAUGGCGGGAAUGAAGGCACAGACUCACGAAGCACGAAAUGGUGGAAGUAUUGAAAAAAAUUUACAUUUUUUAAAUCUUGUUUCUACUGACAUGUUGGUUUGGUAUGGACAGAGGAGCAUUGCCUAGAAAUUGCACUACCAAAAAGUUCUGAAUCAUAAAAUCAUAGUACUGCCAUGGAGGAUGAAAUUAAAUGUCCCUGUCUAACGAGAACAUUAGCUUUUAGGUCGUAAUUUAAAAAAUUUAGAUAAAGAAUGAUUCAUAAGAAAAGAAAUGAUGAAUCCUAGGUUUUGAGCAAUGACUUGGGAAUAAACUGUGGAAGGAUACAUUUUGAAGAAUACAUUAUUCAAUUGUGUCUAUGGUGAAAGCGAACAGGGUAAUCUAAAUCAGCUACCAACUACCAUCCAUCCUUUUUUCAACAGCCCCUUAUUUAGACUUGGCCAGACUGUAGUCAAUGCUUUCGCUAAAUGCCACUUAUAUGGUGGUGAUGACUCAAUUGCGCCUUGGUCUCAUCGAUCAUCCCUCUGUCAUCUAUUGUCGCCGCCUCGAGGAACUAUCCGUUGUUGCGUUUUUGAAUGACUAAUGCUAAAAAGAAUUGAAUGGAUCAAGCUUCAUCUCGGGUAACUUCUGAAAACAACUUCAGUCGGAGACUAGGAGAUUUUAAAGAAAGGUUUUUGUAUUAUAAUUAAUGUUUAAUAGUAUAGAAACAGCUCAUUUUUGCUUGAAUUCAAUCUAAAUAUUGAGUUAAACUUGCCAUAAAUAUUUACUUUCCUGACUUUACAAGUUUUCUUUUACAUCUGGUACACAAGCAGUUUUAUUUGGUCUUUGAUAAUUGCGCUUUUUUUCCACAGGACUCGGUGGCAAUGUGAUGUAUAUGUAUCACUGUAUCAGUCAGCUGCACGCAGUUUAUGGAUCUGGUGUUUUCCUGAACUAUAGAAGCAAGACCUGAUUAGACUGCAUUCUUGAAAUGGUUUUACAGGUGAAAUUUCAUCUAUCUCUAACACAACACCAUGGUUUUUGGUUGUGACCAGCUGGUGAAAGGUGUCAUCAAAUUAGGUUUAGUUGUUGCCUGGAGUCUGUGAUGCCGGUGUUAUCCUGGAGUGUGUUGGUGUUCAGACAAAUAUUGUUCUGCUUAAUUUUUCAUGAGUGUAUUGACUGAAGUAGUCUAUGAAGUAGACAAGUGCAUAUCUGGGGCAGCUGCUUCAUGCAGUGUAUCGAGCUGUUGUUAUCCCUAUUGUUACAACAGGAAGACUUCGUGAAUUGGAAUUCAUGGUCAGUUGGAGCCGUUUACGUUGUUGCAGUUUGGUGUACAGUGGUUUUGCAGUCCCUUUCCAGUUGAGAGAUGUCCUGAAAUGGAGCUUAUGCAGACUUACAGUUCAACAUCAUACAUGAAUGUGUCAUUUGCCUAUGUUGGUGUUCAUUCCGUAUAUUCAGUGUUCAACAGUUGGGUAAAAUAGUCAUUGUUGACUGAUGGCUGUCGGUAUUAUUUUAUCGGUUGCAUUUUGUCGAUAUGUCGUCUCUUGCGACCUGUGCCGGCGUUGAGUUGAAUCAUUUGCUGCCGUUCCAUAGACUUGAUCCAUUGGUAAAACUGAAGAUAAGUUGCUGAAAUUCAAGACUCGUCAAUAAAUUAUGUAGAUAGAAAUAAGUUACAAGUGCAUAUCUGGGCUCCCUUCUUCAGUGGCUCCGUUUCCCUAAAUAACCACUAACCAACGCCCGCCAGUGGUCACUCACUCGCUGCGACAACCAGGAGGAAGGGAGAUGUUUGGUCGAACGGGGACUUGCAAGGCGCAUGAUUCGAUGAAAUCUGUUGGAGGGUCAUGAGUCUAAGCCGGAAGUCUACUAUGACACACUGCUCUCAUAAUAACUGCUCCUCAGCUCUCUUCGCUCUUUUUCCGGUUUCUCUUAACCAUGGUCGAGUCAGUCGGGAAGUGUUUCCCCCUGCUUGACUGGCAGUAGUUUGACCCGGUCGUUCUAUUUAUUAGAUUAUUUUUUCAUGUAAA